rnacentral:lncRNA from 1 species
GUUUCCACUGCUCUGAUAAAACACCACGCCCAAAAGCAACUAUAUUUCAAAUUAUAGCUCCACAUCACAGUUCAACACUGAGAGACAUCAGGGUAGGAAUUCAAACAGAUCGGGAACCUGGCACCGAAGCUGGUCCAGAGGCCAUGGAGGAGUACUGCUCAUUCCUCAUGGCUUCUCACCUGCUUGCUUAUAUGCCACAGGACCACCAGCCCAGGGGAAGCACUGCCCACAAUGAAACGAAUCCUUCCACAUCAACCAUCAGCCAAGAGUAUGCACCAGAGGCUUGUCCAUGGGCCAGUUUGGUUAGGUGGUUUUCUAGUUGACGUUCCCUCUUCCAAAAUGACUCUAUUGUGUGUCAAGCUGACACAAAACUAGUCAGCACAGUGGGUAAAGGCACUUGCCACCAGGACUAGCAACCUAAGUUGGAUCCCCUAGGUCCCACAGGAGGAAGGAGAGAACCAACUCACACAAGUUGUCUCCUGACCUCCGGUAUAUAUGCACACACACAAUAAAUAAAA